AUAUUACAAAAUAAAUUGAAUUUAGAAUCCACGAACUCUUAUCGAACUCGAUUGGUAAUCUUAUUCAUCCCGAAGAUACCACGAAAGUGGGAAAUACGGUUAAAAAUAAAAU
rnacentral:rRNA from 1 species